GACAAACCGUGCGAACGUUGUUCGGAAUCACUGGGCUUAAAGGGCGCGUAGGCGUGCUGCCAAGUCCGGGGUGAAAUCUUUCGGCUUAGCCGGAAAAGUGCCUUGGAUACUGGCGGUCUCGAGGGAGGUAGGGGUAUGUGGAACUUCCGGUGGAGCGGUGAAAUGCGUCGAUAUCGGAAGGAACGCCGGUGGCGAAAGCGACGUACUGGACCUCUUCUGACGCUGAGGCGCGAAAGCUAGGGGAGCGAACGG
rnacentral:rRNA from 1 species